rnacentral:rRNA from 1 species
UACGUAGGGUGCGAGCGUUUGUCCGGAAUUAUUGGGCGUAAAGAGCUUGUAGGCGGUUUGUCGCGUCUGCCGUGAAAAUCCGAGGCUCAACCUCGGACUUGCGGUGGGUACGGGCAGACUAGAGUGUGGUAGGGGAGACUGGAAUUCCUGGUGUAGCGGUGAAAUGCGCAGAUAUCAGGAGGAACACCGAUGGCGAAGGCAGGUCUCUGGGCCGAUACUGACGCUGAGGAGCGAAAGCGUGGGGAGCGAACAGG